AAUAUUUGACGUCGUUGAUUUUUUUAAACAUGUUUGAUCGUUCGUCUUAUUCAAAUAAUUUAAGUAAUUAUUAAUUCUUUUCAUAUCAUUUGAUUCAUUGUUAAAGAUACUUUUAUGUAUACAUAUAGUUUUAUAUAUUUCACAAAAGUUUUUAAAUAAGACGAACGGUCAAAUAUGUUUAAAAAAGUCAACGGCGUCAAGUAUU
rfam:Oryza glaberrima chromosome 3 Oglab03_0155_15, whole genome shotgun sequence.